GAUGAACGCUAGCUACAGGCUUAACACAUGCAAGUCGAGGGGCAGCAUGUCGGUGGCUUGCCACCGGCGAUGGCGACCGGCGCACGGGUGAGUAACGCGUAUCCAACCUUCCCCCGGUAGGGAUAGCCCGGCGAAAGUCGGAUUAAUACCCUAUGUUUUCCUUUGAUGGCAUCUGAGGAGGAGCAAAGAUUUAUCGCCAGGGGAUGGGGAUGCGUCCGAUUAGGCAGUCGGCGGGGUAACGGCCCACCGAGCCUUCGAUCGGUAGGGGUUCUGAGAGGAAGGUCCCCCACAUUGGAACUGAGACACGGUCCAAACUCC
rnacentral:rRNA from 1 species